CCUACGGGGGGCUGCAGUGGGGAAUAUUGGACAAUGGGGGCAACCCUGAUGCAGCCAUGCCGCGUGUGUGAAGAAGGCCCUCGGGUUGUAAAGCACUUUCAGUGAGGAAGAACGCCUGGUGGUUAAUACCCAUCAGGAAAGACAUCACUCACAGAAGAAGCACCGGCUAACUCCGUGCCAGCAGCCGCGGUAAUACGGAGGGUGCGAGCGUUAAUCGGAAUUACUGGGCGUAAAGCGCGCGUAGGUGGCUUGAUAAGCCGGUUGUGAAAGCCCCGGGCUCAACCUGGGAACGGCAUCCGGAACUGUCAAGCUAGAGUGCAGGAGAGGAAGGUAGAAUUCCCGGUGUAGCGGUGAAAUGCGUAGAGAUCGGGAGGAAUACCAGUGGCGAAGGCGGCCUUCUGGGCUGACACUGACACUGAGGUGCGAAAGCGUGGGUAGCAAACAGGAUUAGAUACCCUGGUAGUC
rnacentral:rRNA from 1 species